rnacentral:rRNA from 1 species
UACGAAGGGGGCUAGCGUUGUUCGGAAUCACUGGGCGUAAAGCGCACGUAGGCGGAUCUUUAAGUCAGGGGUGAAAUCCCGAGGCUCAACCUCGGAACUGCCUUUGAUACUGGGGAUCUCGAGUCCGGGAGAGGUGAGUGGAACUGCGAGUGUAGAGGUGAAAUUCGUAGAUAUUCGCAAGAACACCAGUGGCGAAGGCAGCUCGCUGGGACGGUAGUGGAACGCUAAGGCGGCGAAAAGCGUGGGGAGCGAACAGG